rnacentral:rRNA from 1 species
UCGGAUCUUUGAGAGCGGCGCACGGGUGCGGAACACGUGUGCAACCUGCCUUUAUCAGGGGGAUAGCCUUUCGAAAGGAAGAUUAAUACCCCAUAAUAUAAUGACUGGCAUCAGUUCUUAUUGAAAACUCCGGUGGAUAGAGAUGGGCACGCGCAGGAUUAGAUAGUUGGUAGGGUAACGGCCUACCAAGUCAACGAUCCUUAGGGGGCCUGAGAGGGUGAUCCCCCACACUGGUACUGAGACACGGACCAGACUCCUACGGGAGGCAGCAGUGAGGAAUAUUGGACAAUGGGUGAGAGCCUGAUCCAGCCAUCCCGCGUGAAGGACGACGGCCCUAUGGGUUGUAAACUUCUUUUGUAUAGGGAUAAACCUACUCUCGUGAGAGUAGCUGAAGGUACUAUACGAAUAAGCACCGGCUAACUCCGUGCCAGCAGCCGCGGUAAUACGGAGGGUGCAAGCGUUAUCCGGAUUUAUUGGGUUUAAAGGGUCCGUAGGCUGAUUUGUAAGUCAGUGGUGAAAUCUCACAGCUCAACUGUGAAACUGCCAUUGAUACUGCAAGUCUUGAGUGUUGUUGAAGUAGCUGGAAUAAGUAGUGUAGCGGUGAAAUGCAUAGAUAUUACUUAGAACACCAAUUGCGAAGGCAGGUUACUAAGCAACAACUGACGCUGAUGGACGAAAGCGUGGGGAGCGAACAGGAUUAGAUACCCUGGUAGUCCACGCCGUAAACGAUGCUAACUCGUUUUUGGGUUUUCGGAUUCAGAGACUAAGCG